AGAAAGGUUUCAUUUUCGAUGUUGCGUCGAUUCUGGGCUAUUCUUAAGACUGUGCAGUGACAACGAAGGAAGAAAUAGACCUUAACAACCAUCGCAGUUUGGUGUCUGAGCCUAUCAAGAGCCCAAAAUGCCGAAAAAAUGCGAUUAGAAACGAAGCGAUCCACACGGCAGAGAAGCGAAGGAAAGUCUGGUGUUUUGAGAUAUAAAGAAGAACCAUCAAGAGGAACCCGCCAGGAUGGUCAUUUCACCCUCCACCGGAAGCGACCAAGAUACGAAGGAAGGAAGAGGAGAAAAGGGACAUGAUAAUUAUUCAGAGACCGACGCAUUGGGAGGGCUGGUGAUGGCCGAGGAGGCGGCGCCCACGGAGGCCAAGGCUGAGGAAGGCUCGCCGGGCGGGUGCUGGCGCGCGCGCGACUCCCUGGCCCUGGUGGGGUUCGUGGCCUUCGCCGUGACGUCAUGCAUGCGCGUCAACCUCUCCGUCGCCAUCGUCGCCAUGGUCGCGGCGCCGGACGGGGGCGGCGGCGGCGAACG